rnacentral:rRNA from 1 species
GUACACACCGCCCGUCGCUACUACCGAUUGAAUGAAAAGGUGAAAAGAAGGGAGUUGAAGUAGUUUACUAUUUUGAUGAACCUCUUUAAACCAUUUCAUUUAGAGGAAGGAGAAGUCGUAACAAGGUUUUCGUAGGUGAACCUGCAGAAGGAUCA